AAAGUCGUAACAAGGUUUCCGUAGGUGAACCUGCGGAAGGAUCAUUACCAAUCCACCUUUAUAAACCACUGUGAACUGUUCCUGUCCUUGGGUGGCAGGAGGAUUGCCCACUGGAUUUUCAGUGGCUUUCCAAUGGUCACCCAAACUUUUUGGAAACCACUUGUAUCAACCUCAUCUGUUGAAACUUUCUUUGCGGCUAUCUUAUGGCCCAAAGAAUCAUAACAAAAAGAAAUACAACUUUUAACGGUGGAUCUCUUGGCUCAU
rnacentral:misc_RNA from 1 species